GUUACGUUUGGGAAGGAGGUCCAAGAUCAAGACAAAGCCUUAAGGGGCUCUGGGCAGUGCAUUUUUCCCCCCCAUAGAUCUGAGAACUCCAUAAUACCUCUGAAAAGCAGCAGCCUGCAAUGAAUCCCCCAGCACUCCCGUCUCCUGGCAUUCUCUAGCAAUGGGAAGAAGGAACUUGCUACAGCUACCUGCACAAUUCCUUAUGCAAAGUGCCAGGAGGAAUUCUUACUCCUUUAUUUCACUUGUUCAUUCACCCAGCCAAAGCAUGAGCUCUUUCACCACUUAAUUGUCCCCAUGCACACCCAUAAUGGGACUUGUUACAUGUGCCCAUAAGGCACGUUUUCACAUUUAUUCCAGAAAUAAACACCUAGGAGCACCAUGCGAUGACUUUUGCGAGUUUAUUGUGUUGGCAGCGCUUCCUGGCAAGGGCAGAGCAGCAGGCUUAGAGCUGGACAAGUGCAGACAACCCUUUUGUGGAACAUGGAAAUCCGAGAAUCAUGGAAUCGCUGAGCUUAGGAAAGACCUCCGAGAUCAUGGAGUGCAACCCGUGACCGAUCCCCACCUUGUCACCCAGCCCAGAGCACCGAGUGCCACGUCCAGUUGUUCCUUGGACACCUCCAGGGACGGGGACUCCAAACCUCCCUGAGCAGUCCAUUCCAGGCUUGGGAUCGCUGCUUGCAUAUCCUCGGUUCUUUCUUGGGCUAGUCUGACACAGUUUGGGAUCUUGCUUUGCGAAGGGAGGAAGAGAAGUCCUGCCAUUCUAUGGAUGCUGUCCUCUCUGGCAAGCACUGCUAUUCCACGGAUGCUGUCCUUCCCCAGCAGCGCUUCCCCCCUUCCCAGCGGCUCAGGCAGCGCCCACCGGAGCCGGAUAAUCCACCGGAGGAGCCGCCGGGAGCCCGCUGCCAGGCCAUGCCGGCGCUCAGGCCGCUUCCAGCUUCUCCUGCGCGGCGGCGAGGCGGCGCUGCAGGUAUCGCUGCCGCCAGCGCAGGAAGCGGCGGCGCGCCCGGCCCGCCUGCCAGCCCACGGCCACCCCGGCGGCGAAGGCGGCCAGCAGCGCCCAGCGCACCACCCGCGGCCGCAGCGCCUCCAGCACCAUCCCGGCCCCGCUCCCGCUCCGCCGAGCCCGGCACCGCCUCCCGCUUCCGCC
ensembl:lncRNA